UGAAAAAAGGUGAUUAAACAACCGACUUCGGAAGUAUGCAUGCUAUACGGGUGCAAUGUACUGGCUAAAGUACUGAUUUUUAGUUGCACCUACCGACUGCGGUAUCUGUUCACGUGAUGAUUUCUCGUCCUGUAUAGAAGACUGUUUCUUCAUCUGUGGUUUUGUUGUGUUCGUCUUUAACGUUACACGGAUAUACUGCACAAUUUCACUUUCAUCUGGAUUGUUGAUGAGAUUAACAUGAUCUAAAAUCU